UAACAGUUGACUGCUGUUUUACACUGCUAGAAAAGCAGGAUUCUGGUCAAAAAUGGACAAAUGGAGCAUAAGCGGAGAAACGCUUUUCUUCACGUGGGUGUGCACAGAAGUUUACAUUUAAAUGUAAGACACACACUGUUGCCCAUGAUUGUGCAUGCAGCUCAAGAGCAGCUUUUGAAAUCUCCUCGGUCCUCUUAAGCGUUGACCCCCUUGUUCAGUCUGAGACCGACACUGAGUCAAUCCUGAAAGCUCUCACUACUGUUGUGUGGAUUUACACAACAUUAGAGUCGCAGCCCUCCUCAUGGAGCCGGUCACAUUUCCCAGACCUUCUCCCAACAAGCGUUGACCUUCUGCUCCUGCAUGUAAAGAGCUCCACGAGACAAGAAAAAAGGGGAGGGGGGAGGCGGCUAACGCAGGCCUCGCCACUGCAAGCAGCCGAGAGACUUCAUCCACUUCUCUGCACACUUAUCUCCUCCUCACUCUGGCUUUGGCUGUGUUCUCUGAGUGUGUCUGGAAGGUAGAUACCUUGUUGGCGCCACAAAGGAGCAGUUCUGUAAUAAAAACAGCUGUCUCCCGUGGUCUCUGUGUAAUUGGGAUUGUUAACGUGGAGAGCUCCUCUGGGAAGCAGAGAGGAGCAUGUCUUUGUGUAAAGCAUACAGCACCUCCUUGAUUCCACGGAAGAGUGAGAAAAGGAGAAUAAAAAGUCCUACAAAGUG